UAUUAAACUUGCUAUACCAUGUGACUGGAAAUAUUUGUUAUUACAACAACACAUGUCACCUAACAGCAACUCAUUUGGAUUCGUUUUUGAGUAUGAGAAUAAAAAAAUGCCUAUCAGUAAAUUAUUCGCUAAAGAUGUAUAUUCACUUUUUAUCGAUCGGGGAAGUGUUUCUCCUAUUUCACAAAAGAGGUGGGAAGAAAG
rnacentral:lncRNA from 1 species